UGCUGUGGCUGACUGAGGAAGGGGCCGCUGGAUCAUCUGAAAUGCAGAGACUCUGCUGAGAGAAGGCGAGCAAAGAGGAGGCCCCGGCAGCGAGAGAGAGACUCUGCCGCUCUGGGAGAUGGAUGUCAUGUAACCAGCACCUUGCGUUGGAGGUCAAGAGAUAUGCCUGCCAACCUCUGCCCUUCAUCAACCAGCCGCAGUGCCUUAGGAACAUCAUGGGAGCCCCGAGUCUUAUCUUUGUGUCCACAACACUACAGGUCAGACUGAAUCCUCCAUAUGCCUGGCACCAGACUAGGACUGCUGGGACAUCCAGCCCCAGUGAACUGAACAAACAACUGCUGGAUUCCUGGGUAUCAGCUACUGUACACAGAAGAGACACAUUAGUCCUGUACCUCACAAGACACGGUCACAGUCCAACACUGAGGGAAGACAGGGCAGGGACCCAAAGGAAGAAACCAUGGAAGAUGCUGCUGGGUGGCUUGCUCUCUGGAUUCUCAGCUG
ensembl:antisense